UACGUAGGUGGCAAGCGUUGUCCGGAUUUACUGGGCGUAAAGAGCGCGCAGGCGGUCGUUCAAGUCGCGUGUGAAAGCCCCCGGCUCAACUGGGGAGGGUCACGCGAUACUGAUCGACUCGAAGGCAGGAGAGGGAAGUGGAAUUCCCGGUGUAGUGGUGAAAUGCGUAGAUAUCGGGAGGAACACCAGUGGCGAAGGCGACUUCCUGGCCUGUUCUUGACGCUGAGGCGCGAAAGCUAGGGGAACAAACGGGG
rnacentral:rRNA from 1 species